UACGUAGGGUGCAAGCGUUAAUCGGAAUGACUGGGCGUAAAGGGUGCGCAGGCGGUCUGCUAAGUCAGAGGUGAAAUCCCCGGGCUUAACCUGGGAAUGGCCUAUGUGACUGGCAGGCUAGAGGAUGGCAGAGGGAGGCGGAAUUCCACGUGUAGCAGUGAAAUGCGUAGAGAUGUGGAGGAACACCGAUGGCGUAGGCAGCCUCCUGGGCCAAUCCUGACGCUCAGGCACGAAAGCGUGGGGAUCAAACAGG
rnacentral:rRNA from 1 species